rnacentral:lncRNA from 1 species
UAGAAUUUAAUAUCAAAUAUAGUACAAUUAGAAUAAAUUAUUACAAAGAAAUUUGCAGUAUUACAACUACUAUAGGAUAAAAUGAUAAACUACAAAUACUUAGAAUAUUGAAAAAAAGAUAUGGAGCAAAUACGAUUAUGGGAAAUACUUAUGAAAACGAAUCUACUUGACUACCUAAAAACUAGAAAUAUGGAACAUAUAAUAUAUCUUAAAAAUAAUAUAGAAGAAUUGAUAAGGUUAAAACAAAUAACUAAGGAAGCUUAUGACAUAGCAUUUCAAUUAACAUGAUAAAACUAGUAAGUACUAGUUAUCUACUAACUAUCCAUGGACAAGUUAUCCACGCAAAUUACCCAAGCUAUCCGCAUCCCCUACAAUUGAUAUCAAAGUCAUGUUAUUUAAAAAAUGUACAAGUGGAUAUAUGUUAAUUAGAUAUGUGUAAGAAUUGUAAUUUACAAGAAAUGUUAAUUUAAUUGUUAAUUGUGAGCUAUUAUUAAUUACGUUAUCUUGUUAUUAUUUAUUUGUUAAAUAUGAGAAGACCAGUUAAGAAUAUACAAGCUUAUAGAAGAAUUAAAGAAAAUUUAAUUAGUUACUACUCAGAGUAUAAAAGAUUAAAUAAGACAAAAGAAAACCCCCACAGAUUACCUUACUUAAUUACCUUAAUAUCUAGCAAUGAGACAAAAUUAAUAAUCCAUUCAAAAUCUAGAAGAAUGAGACACAGACCACCUAGUUAUGAUAAAAUCAGAUUUCAGUAUCCACCAAAAUAUUAUUAAUAUUGUACUGAUGAAUAACAUAACAAAAUUCCAAAAAUGUAAAGAACUAAAUCAAAUAAUAUCUGAAAAACGGAGAGAAUUAAAAAUAAGAAAAGAAAGAACAUGAUUGUAGGAGUAUGUCAAAAAUCAAUAAAUGCACAAAAAGAAGAAAUAUCAUAUUUAGAAUCACAAAUAGACAGUUUAGAAUACAUAUAUCAACAUGAUCUAUACAAUAUCAAGUAGAUAAAAUGAACAAAGAAGAAUUCAUAAUAGAUAAAAAAAAUAUAUGAAAACCACGAAGGAUUAAAAAUAAAAAUAGUAUUUUCUAAUUUAGGAAGAAGAUAUAAUAAAAUCGGUGAACAUUUAUAUUUAAUGUUAGAGAAAGAAGAAUUAAAAUUAGAAGAUAAAUUAACAGUUAUGGUAAAAAUAACAAGAGAAAAUAAAGAAAUAGAUAGGAAAAAAUAAAUAGAUAAAAUAAAACAACAGACUACAAAAGAAAUACGAAAAAUAGAAGAAAUUAAAAAUAAUAAGAUUACUAAAUUAGAAAAAGAACUACAAAUACUAAAAGAUCUAUAUGAAAAAAGACAGAAAGAAAAAGAAGAAAAAGAUAAAGAACAAAAAUUACUAAUUGAGAUAAAUCAAUUUAAAGAAAAAAAUAGAAGGAGAAAAUAAUGAAAUAGAAAUAAAUACAAUAGAUGCUGAAGAAACAAAUAAUUAUGAUUCAGAAGAUAGUGUAACAUAUACAGAAAUCUUAACAGAUAUAGAAAAAUUAGAAAUUAAUGAAAAACAAGAAGUAAUUAAUAAAGAAACUUAGAAAAAACGAACACGGAAAUAAACACUCUUGAUAAAAAGGACGAUAAAUAUAUAAUACCUAGUACCUCAGAAAUAAGAAAACCUACAUAUUACUAUAAAAAUAAGUUUAAAAAAUAUAACCUAAGGGAUGAAUAUAACAAAUGGACACUAAAACAAAUAAUUCAUAAAAAUUAUAAUUUUUUAGACUUAGAUUGUGUAAUAAAUGUAGAUAAAAUGAUACAAUUAUGGAUAGGAUAUAUAUAACAAAACAAUUAUUAGACAAUGAUAUAAAUGCAAUAGAUACACCAGAAUACAUAGAAAGAACACUAAUAGGAACAAUAAAAUUAUAGUUUUUAAAUUUAACUGAAGAUAGUAAAAAAGUAUUAAGGAAUGAUAAAAGAAAAGAAGGAACAACAGUAACUAAGCUAACACCUAUAGACAUAUUGAAAAAAUAUGAAAUGGCUAUAAGAGAUUAAUUUAGCAGUAUGACAACAGAAGAAGAAGAAAAAAAACAAAGAAAAAGAUACAAAUAGGAAUUUAAUGUUAAAACUAGCAAUAUAUAAUAUGUACUAUAUAGAUGAAUAUACGUACGUAUUUAAAGAAUACUAAUAUAAAGGAGCAUAUAAUACAGAAGAAAGUAAAGAAGUUAGAAAAUUAUAUUUUAGUAAAUUACCUAAACCAUUUAGUUUAAAAAUAAUAAAGAGUUGGGAUGAAGCAAACAUAGCAGAUACUCUUAGAGCAAGAAUAAAAUUUCUACAACAAUGGUAUAGAAAUUUAUGUGAAAAAUACAGAGAAAAAAUGAAAAUGGAAAAAACAUUAAUAAAAAAUUUAACAUGUUGUGAAGAUAAAAUAACACCUCAAUUCGGAUGUGAAGAAAGACAUUAUAAGAAAAGAAAAAGACAUAAGAAAUAUAAGAAAUACAAAAAAUCAAAAUAUAAGUAUAAGAAACCAAGAAAAAGAUAUUAUGUAAAAAAUUAUAAAUAUAAACGACCAUAUAGGAAAAAGAAAUCUAUAAAAGAAUGUACUUGUUAUAAUUGNNNNNNNNNNNNNNNNNNNNNNNNNNNNNNNNNNNNNNNNNNNNNNNNNNNNNNNNNNNNNNNNNNNNNNNNNNNNNNNAUCAGAAAAUAAUAUUUGAUAAUAAUAUAUUUGACGAGAUAAAAGGAAAAGAAUUAGAUUUAAGUGUAGAAAAAAUAUUUAAAAUACCAACAAUAAAAAACAUAUUUAAUAGACGAAAAGAAGAAUAUUACGUAGUAAGCCAAAAAGAACAUGUAAUGAACUGUAGAUAUGCAAAAGGUAGAGAAUAAUUAAGAAAUAAACGAUAUAAAAAGUAAAGACCUAAUAAAAUAUGUACAUCUUGGAGGAACAGAGAUAUUAAUACAAGCAUGUUUUAGAGAAGGAAUAGAUACACUAAUAGAAUUAUAUUUAACAGAUGAUAGAAUUAUAAAACCUAUAGAAAAAAGCAUAAUAACUGCUAUAAGAGGAAAUUUAAUAUACCAAAAAUUAAAAUUUAUAAUAAGUAUGAAUUGUUCAGUGACAAUAACAGAUAAAAACAUAGACAAAUCAUUAGUAUUAUAUUGGAAAAUAUCAGGAAUAGAACUAACCCCAGGGAGUAAAAUAUUUACAACAAGAUGUAAAAAUCUAUAUGUAUUAACAACAAAACAUAAAAUAAUAGAAAAAAUAAAAUUAAUAAAAUACAAAUAGAAAGUCCUACAAUUUGUAAAAACAAUUGAUAAUAAUGAUUAUAGUUACAAAGACAUAGAUAUAGAAAAAGAUUUAGAAAUAAUAAAUGAUAGAAUAAGUACAGCAAAAAGAAUAGCUUUUGAAAAAUCAAAAAUCAUCAGGAUCAUCGAAAAGAACAAAUUAUAAUUUCAACAGUUAAUUUAACUCAAUAUUAUAUAAUGGGAACAAUAAAUAAAAAAGAAUAUUUAAUACUUCUAAAUACAGGAUAAGAAGAAAAUUAUAUAGCAAAAUAUUUAGUAAAAAAUGAAGGAUAAAAUCUAAUAGUAAUAUAUGCCCAGAUCUACCAAAAAGUUUAAUAACUAUUAAAGAAACAACAGAAAAAUAAUAAUAAUAGGAGUUAGAAAAAUAAAAAUAGAAUUUGAAAUAAAGGAAGAUAUGCAAAACCCUACAAUAUAAAACAUAUACAAAUAACCAUAACCUAUAAUAGAGAAAAAUUAUUAAUAAAAAGAGCUUUGAUAUGAUAUGAAAAUAUAUGUACUUAUGAAAAUAAUAGUAGAAGGAUAUUAUAAUAAUAUUAUACACCAAUGAUAGAUAUCGGAGCAGAAGCCAAUUUAUGUAUAUAUAAUUGUUACCAGAAGACAAAUGAAAUAAGCUAAAAACACCAAUCAUAAUAAAAUGAUUUAAUAAUUAAGGAAAUUUAAUUAUUUAUAAAGCUUAUCUCUUGGAAAAGACCUUCGAUGAAGAUAAUUGAUCUUCUCGUUGGACUCUAAAGAACCGCAAUAUGAUGUGUAUAUUCUGGUGGCGGAGAAGCGGAGGUGAAUUGGAUAAUAUGAGGGAGCACUACUGAUCUCGCUUGAGUUGGGGUUAGCCCUUCCAGAGAUGGCGUGAUACCUCCAAUGGCAUCUCUACAGCCAUUUGAAGAUCUUUACCGAUAUUUUAUUAUAAGUUAAAAGAGAGAGAGAAUAAUGUUUUCUUAUUUGCAAGAGGGUGUUUCUUUUAUAAAUUGUAUUGCUAGCUGUGUGUGAAAGGUUAUAGAACUUGGAACUGGAGCCCCAUUGAGUCUCAAUUAGUUCGUAUUUGUAUGGCAUAAAUUUAUUUCAUGCCAAAG